rnacentral:lncRNA from 1 species
CACACCAUAACAGAUGUUAAUUACAAUUUAUGAUAUAAAUAGCACCUAUGUUUGUCAUAUUCCAGCAGGCCAGAUGAGCCCUGUUACUGGUUAGAUGGCCUUUUAAGCUCUGGAUAUGGCAGACAUAGUGUGGUUAUCAUAUUAUAACAUAUUCAUCUUUGAUUUUACUUGUAAGAUAUACAACUAUGUAUCAAUGAAGAACAUGGUCCCUAAGUUUUUAAAGAAGCUAGGUUAGUAAACUACUAGUAAACACACACUAGAGAAUAAAUAUGUAAAAUUAUUACUUUAAGGAUGUACAGAGAAAUUAAUUUAUGUGAAUGUAUUUCAUGUUUAUGUUUUUACUAUUUAGUUCUGUUCACUGAAAAUUUAAUGUAUCUUUUUUUUUGUUAUUCUUAUGUAGUAUGCAUCAACAUAUCAUUGACUUCUAUUCAAAAUAGCUUAUUUCAACGUUAUUAAAAAGGCAAUGCCCAUAUUUAAUUUCAGAAAUAAUCUCAGAAAAAUUAGGAAGGUUUCAACCUUCUAAGAGUACUCAGUAUAAAAGGUGUUUCUGAAUAGUGAUUUUUCAAUAUAAUUUCAGGUAAUAACAAUUAAAAUCAAGAAAUGCUGUGAUGAGCCAACUGAUAGUUCUUGAAGUAUAGUAAGUCUUACCUUCAGUCAUUACAGGUGUUAAUUUCAAUUGUUGAUUAUCAUAAAAGAAUAAUGGUUAUGUAAGCCGUUAACACAAUCGUUGUAAACAUUCUAAUCAUCUUACUAAAUAUGUUAUGAAGAAGAAAAAUGAAAUGAUAAUUAAAAAUAUUAAUAAAAAUCAACUUUAUAAUGUUUUUUGAUAACUUUAAGGCGCCUUCACUACCAUCUGUAUAGCCCUGUAAGAAGUGUUCUUUCGUUUUAAGGUAACUGUGUUGAUAGAAGCUAACAUCUUUAUAGCUUACAAAAUAUUGUAACUGUCUGUGUAUUAUCUGUUGUGCUUUCAAAAGUAAUAUCUAAAUACAAUGAUAGCAAAUAUAGAGUGUUAUUUGUUUUAAAACAUAUCUAAUCAUAUUGACAGUAAACGUUGUUUUAAAAAGCUUUUGGAUAGACUUGAAAUCAAGAAAAUGGCAGAAGACCAUAGUACAUUCAGUCCCCAUUUUGAAGACAUUGCUUAAAUCCACUUUAAAAUAAUAACAUUUGGAUAAUAAUUUGUUUCAAGGAAAAUAUAAUGAAAGCCUGAGUCAUAAAAUUAAGUUACCGAAGAAAUUUAUUAUUGACCCCAUGAGAAUUUAGGACCCAUUGCAGCUAAUUUUUCAUGAUACCCAAGAUAAUUAUCCCAUACUUCUGAAAUAAAUUUACUUUUAUAAUUAGUAAGUAAGAUAAAAUUAUUAUCUUGUAUCAAUGAUCAUUAUAAUUUAAUAUAUAUAUCUUGGUUCAAUGAGUGGUAGUUCGUAAGAGCUCUAUGCAAAAUUAAAAAAGAAAAUAAUUUUCUUAUAAGCCUAGAAAGGAAAAAAAACUUCAUAAAGUGUAAAUAUGUAUAUUUAAAAGUACAGAAAUUUACUAGAAUGUAAUUAGUUGUUACUGUAUGUACAUUUAUAGUUUUAAAUAUGAGGCUCCUAACUGAUAGCUCAAGUAUGCCAAAUAACUUGGGUAUUGAUAUUUUCUUCUCAUUUUUUUACAUUUUUCAGGUACUUGUGUAUUAUUUUCAGUGGUUUUAAUUCUUUUGUCAUCCUUGAUAUUAAUUUCUUGAACUUUGGGUUCGCUACUUUAACUUUAUUCUAGGUAUUGUUAUUUCAAUAUAAAAAUUACCUAUCGUUUACUUCUUUUUGUUUUUUUAUGUUUGUGACCAGUGAUUUUCAUUAAUUUCCCAGUAAUAGUCAAAACUGUCUUCUGCUGAUGAUCUUCCAGUUCUUGGCCACCUUUUAUCAGACUUCUUGUCUCCUCCUUAGCUUGAGAACUUGUGACCAAGUUCAAGUAUACACAGUUGUAUAUGGGUGGUUUGGUUAACAUGACAGUCUUAAUUUGAUUAAAAAACUCAUUCCUAUAACAUCAUAGCACUGCAAUACAUACCACUGAUUAAAUUCUCUUCAAUAAGUAUAUUAUCUCUUCUUGUGCUUGUACUUUGUCCUAAUUCGUUUAUCACCAUCUCUACUGGAUGGCCAUGACACUGAUUCAAUCUCUCCUAAGCAGGUUGAGUUUUUAGUGAGACAGGAUUUUAGGGAUACAGUUUCUCAGAGGCUGGCUUUUUCAUCAGAAUUUCAUCUUUUUCUUUUUUGUGUGGGAUUGUUUCUGUCACGAAACAUUAUGAAUAGAUCUUUUUCAACUUGUUAUGGUUUGAAUUUAGUUUUCACGUUAUCUUGUCUCUUGUAUGUUAACCCUGUUUUAUGUGUAGUGCAAUGUAUCUCCUAAUAUUAACCCCUUAUCAUUCAUGGAAGAGUUUUUCCAUUGCCGUAACAACACUUUGACCAUAACAAACCAGACACGAGGCACUAAAAUGGUGCACGAGACAUUUGGUGUGUAUAUAUACAGGUGGAGAUGUUGUGUAAAUAUAUGGUGAAGAUCAUAAAGGAUUAGUGAAUGUUAAGCAAGAAAUGUUAUAGUGGUAGUCGUUAAUUGUUAGCAGUGAUUAAACAUUAAGUUUGUAUCCCUACUUAAUGGAUCAGUGGACUGGGUUGUUUUUUAUUAAGACUUUUUUUACUCAAGAUAGUUUUUCCCGAUGCAGGUAUCCGACUUAUUCCCUUAAAAUUAAAUAUCUACGUGAAUUGAAAUUACCAUGCUUUUUUUUUACUUGAUGGUCUACUCUAGCCGUUUCACAUCUUGUACUUAGUAAAAGGUUAUAUAUUUUGUUUAUAAUUACAAGCUUGUCCUGUCAAUAGCUGUUUGCUUUCUUCUCUGCCAUUCUUAAAUUUCAGCCAGGAACUAAGAUGUUUUUAUUUAGAAUAUUCACCACUCUUUCAGUCCAUAUCUGGAGUAAUACAUCUCAUUAGUAUUUAUUUCAAGUCACAUCUCAUCAGACCAUAUCCCUAACUGCUGCUACUCAUUAUUCUUUGAAAGAAAUUGAAUGGUCCGUCAUACACACUACUUUCAUUACCAUCAUAAAUGAUUUAUUUGUAUUUUGUUACAGUAGCAUGUAUUUCUAUGUGUUUCAUUGCUUCUCAUUUUCUUUAAUUUUAUCCUGCAGUGAUUUUGGAACUUUUAAAUUGAAGGUGAAUGUUUUGUUCUCCCACCUGAUGUUGGUUUUAAGGCACUAGUAGUCAGUGGCAUAGCCAGCACUACAAAAUGGAGGGGAUCUUUUUCUAAACAAAAAGUGGACAUUUUCUUCUACAUAAAUAAUUUAAGUGACUUAUGUAAAGGUCAAGUGUUAAGUUAUUUUAACUCGGAAGACAGUAGAAUUUUUAGAAUAUUGGAUUAUAAAAGUGACAGUCAAUUGCAAUAUUUGGUUUAAAAAAUCCAUGCAACAACAAGGGCUUUCGAUUGGUUACCUUUCCUCUUGUUAGAAGUUAAAAAUUAGUGACAGUUGUACUUUAAUCUGGCCAUUUGGUUCACAUAGGUGCAUAAGGUGUCAUUCAAGCCUGACAGUUUCUACUUUAGUUGUAAAGGUUUAAACAUUUUAAAAUAAAUACUGCAUGAACAAAGAAUGGUCUCAUAGUGUCAGCUUUCUUUAGAAAAGUUUGUGGUAUGUUGUGCAGUGUAAUUUAUUUGAUAUAACUCAUUUACAUUAGAUAAAUAUUUUAGCUUUAUUUUACUUUAAUGUAUGCUAAAAAAUCCAUUCAAAGUGAUAUAUAUUUGGUUCCAUCACAACCUCAUUUGUAACUAUCCAUUUUAAGUUUUGCUAGAGUGGUAUCGUUAGUCCCAUCACAGCUUCACUUAACUAUUCAUUUUAAAUUUUGCUAGAGUGGUAUCGUUAGUCCCAUCACAGCUUCACUUAACUAUUCAUUUUAUGUUUUGCUUGAGUGAUAUCUUUUGUCCCAUGACAACCUAAUUUGUAACUAUUCAUUUUAAAUUUUGCUAGAGUGAUAUCUUUAGUCCCAUCACAACCUCAUUUGUAACUAUCCAUUUUAAGUUUUGCUAGGGUGAUAUUUUAACAACUCCCACAAGUUAAUAUUGUAAAUGUUUUUUUAAUUCAAUAAAGACACGGUUAUCAUUUAUUGCUGAAAUGGGAUUCAUUGGGAGAGGAUACUCGUUAUGCACAUAUAAAAUGAUAUAAAGCAAAGCAUUAUUUGUUCGAUUGUCAUUAUCAACUGCACACACAAAAAAAACUUAAUACAUAUAUUCUAUCUCAAUAGUUAAGUGUUUAAUGAUAUUGAUGUUCAAGAAGUAUUCAAAACACAGGAUGUAUUUGUAGGUUAAUCGUAAAUGUUCCUCAUGUUAAUAUUUGUUUCAAUAAGUAAUAAUUUGGUUUGCAGGAUGUACAUUAACGUACAAAAUUAAAAGGUAUUAAUGAAGUUUCUUGUAAAAGAGAAUAUGUAAUUAAAGAUGUAUGAAUUUUGGAAGUAUCCGAUUGUUAUUGUAUCUUUAUGCAUUUAUUUCUCUUAAUUAAUAGCACAAUUUUAUGGUAGGUAAGUGCAGAUUUUGUGCAAUAAUAUUUUCCCCCAUGAAUUCAAGUUUAAAUAAUUUUAAUGAAGGAGGUGCAAAAAAUAUUUUUCAUGAUUUGUGUGUAAAUACAGUAUUUUCAGUGUGUUUUAGACUAUGCAUGUAAUGGUACAGACAUUACGAUUGUCUUUUAUUAAUUUAAAGAAAAAUGGACAUUAUGUAAAACACAUUUCUGAGUAGUGUGAAAUAUUCACACAUUGUGUCAAACUUUUGGUUAGUGGUUUUUGUUUAUGUACAGGCACUUAUUUCAGAUACUAAAACUGCCAUAUUAAAUGAGCAGCUUAUUACACCUAGUACUGUUGCAUAUGUGCCUUUAAAGUAUAAACAUAUUAGGCUUAUUACAUAGAAUCUAUGAGCAUGUUUACCUAGUUCUGUUUGAUGUACAAUCGGAAUUAACCAAAGCUUAAACAUGUUUACCUUGUUCUGUUUGAUGUACAAUCGGAAUUAACCGAUGCUUAAACAUGUUUACCUAGUUCUGUUUGAUGUACAAUCGGAAUUAACCAAAGCUUAAACAUGUUUACCUUGUUCUGUUUGAUGUACAAUCGGAAUUAACCGAUGCUUAAACAUGUUUACCUAGUUCUGUUUGAUGUACAAUCAGAAUUAACCAAAGCUUAAACAUGUUUACUUCAUUCCAUCUAUAUAGUUGCCGUGGCAACUAUGAUAAUAAACGAGAUAUACGGGAUUGUAAAAUGUAUAAUUAUAAAAGUAUGAAAUGAUAUUGAGAUGUAUGAGUCAGUCAAUAAAGACAGAGUUACUGAUAAA